UACAGAGGGUGCUAGCGUUGUUCGGAAUCAUUGGGCGUAAAGGGCGUGUAGGCGGUUUGUUAAGUCAUGUGUGAAAUCCCUCGGCUCAACCGGGGAACGACGCAUGAAACUGGCAAGCUAGAGUACCAAAGAGGGGGGUGGAAUUCCGGUGUAGCGGUGAAAUGCGUAGAUAUCGGGAGGAACACCUGUGGCGAAGGCGGCCCCCUGGUUGGAUACUGACGCUGAUACGCGAAAGCGUGGGGAGCAAACAG
rnacentral:rRNA from 1 species